UUUCCGUAAAAUUUUCCCUUGGAAUUACCGCAAUCAACCGCAACUGAUUCUAGGGUUUCCUUUUAUGGCGCUCUGAAUCCGUAGUUGUUGUAAUGUAUCUGUUUCUAAUUGAUUGUGCUGGACUAAAGGGCAUAGGGUUAAAUGAAUGGAUAGUCCCUGUGAUUUAACAUUCAGUGGCGCUUUAAUCCCUGUACAUUGAAAGCGAAUUGAGACCAUGUCUAACCUUUGUGUUUUUUUGUGGUAAGGGAGAAUGCACAAGUUUUUUAGGGAGUAUAAUUUUUAAGUGACUAUGCAAGCAUUUUAGCCUAUGAGCAUAUUUGGUCCUUCUUUGAUUGUCAAAUCCAGGGAGCAUUGGUCCUUAUUAGCCUGACCAUGCAGGAUCCAGGAUUAAAGAAAUAAUCCAGGCUCUGACAUCUUGUACGGAACACGCUAUCAAUUCGAUCGAGCUCAUGUGCCCCGCGAUGCACGCUGCACCAUGAAAUCAGUAAAGAAUCGUCUCGUUUUUUAUGAUACUCGUGAUUGCUUGGGCUAGUUGAUUGUAAUUUGUACUCAUUGUCGUCUAUUAUCUUAGAUUCUUGUACUCGCUCACAUAUUAAACAGUUUUUUAUACUAUAAAUGAGUAUCAAAAUGUGAGUUGUUAUGCUUGGUGUCACUUGAUUGGACAAAGCACGCUGUCGUAAUCUUUAUAUAUAAAACUUACAGAAUUACAA